AGUUAAGUUUCCAUCUGGGCUUUAAACUUACAGUCUUGUAAAAAUACUAAAGAUGCCUGGUUGAUCCAUCUAUGUAGUCUUCCUUCUUCAGUACUUGUGAGGGUGUUCCACUGGUGGCUAGGGGUAAGAAGUUAAAGAUGCUGCCUGACUUGCUGAGUGUUCCCAGGAUUUCCUGUUCUAAUUCAAGAUGAAAAUUGGUCGGUUUUUAGAUGUUAAUGGAAUUAAGAUUCAAUUGAAUCGGACUUAGACAUGUCCUGAGACUUCUGUGCAUCAGCAUUUCUGCAAAACUGCGUCCUACUAAGGAGCGUGGCGC